AUUGAACGCUGGCGGCAGGCUUAACACAUGCAAGUCGAGCGGAGAGAGGUAGCUUGCUACUGAUCUUAGCGGCGGACGGGUGAGUAAUGCUUAGGAAUCUGCCUAUUAGUGGGGGACAACAUUUCGAAAGGAAUGCUAAUACCGCAUACGUCCUACGGGAGAAAGCAGGGGAUCUUCGGACCUUGCGCUAAUAGAUGAGCCUAAGUCGGAUUAGCUAGUUGGUGGGGUAAAGGCCUACCAAGGCGACGAUCUGUAGCGGGUCUGAGAGGAUGAUCCGCCACACUGGGACUGAGACACGGCCCAGACUCCUACGGGAGGCAGCAGUGGGGAAUAUUGGACAAUGGGCGGAAGCCUGAUCCAGCCAUGCCGCGUGUGUGAAGAAGGCCUUAUGGUUGUAAAGCACUUUAAGCGAGGAGGAGGCUACUCUAGUUAAUACCUAGAGAUAGUGGACGUUACUCACAGAAUAAGCACCGGCUAACUCUGCGCCAGCAGCCGCCGUAAGAC
rnacentral:rRNA from 1 species